rfam:Myotis lucifugus cont2.28426, whole genome shotgun sequence.
GGUGGUUCUCGGGUGAUGCACCCCUGAAUUGGGCUCCCUCCUCUCUGGUUCCGGGUGCAUCACGUGAGAACAGCA